GAUUAGUCUAACUUACGCGGUUACCAACCAUUACGAAUAUCAAAGAUUCGGCGAGCUAAGUUAAAAACAUAAUCCACCAAGCGAGUUACGCAACACAGGGUUCAUGAAUUAUUGGCUUUGGGAAGACGAAGUUCAAAUGAAGGAAACGUGGUGGCACCGAGCUGAAUGCUGCCCGAUGCAUUAACAGCGCUAGAUCCGGGAGAGACUGUUCUGUGCUGCUUUAUAGGAGUAGCACAUGAAAAGUGAACUCCACUGUUACUCAAAAGCUAUUACCGAAUAGGUUGCAUAUACAUUAAUAUGACAGUACUACCCUACAGCAAAGCAACAAAAAGCUAUUGACCAUAAUAUAAAAUGGACCAGUGCAUGGAAAGUUAAAAUGGAACUAACUCGUACAGCCAGAUUUAGAACCAACCAACAAUGGGGAUAAACAGUUUCAACAGACUUGUUGGUCUGGAAAUUUAAUAGAAUAGUACAUAAUUUUAUAAUUCAUUGUUUUGGCCCUUCAGCACUAUGUUCAUACUUGCCACCCAAUAUCCUACUGACGACUCUUCUACAUAGUUUCGUAUACUUGUAGCGAAUUUGUUUAAGUCAGGACUAUCUAAUUACCUUUGAAUUACUCAAGUGCGUUCAAACUGAACAGAAAACAAUCACUGCAAUAAAAGAAUGAUCAGUUUCCAUUUAUAGAAAGCAAUUGUAACGCUUAAUUGAAUGGAAAAUAACCACCGUGACCGAUAAGCGAAUAUUUUAACUUCAUAUCUUAGCCAGCUGUUAAUCCGUCUUUUAAAACAUGCUUUGUUUGCCUGGAUUUAAAUUUAUUUGGGUUCAAAGAUCUUUCAUGCCUAUAAAUGUAAUUUUAGUCAAAAAAUGGUAUCAAACUAUUUCACUAUACAUAUCAGCUUAAGAUUUUAUUAUAAUCAACAUAUUAUUUAUGAUUUUAUUUGGCCGGCAAAUUCCAGUGAAUUUCUCUCAGUUUUUGGUUGGAAUAUGCAUAGAAGCACAUAAUAGUUUGUAAGUUAAUAAGAGUCUAAUGAUGUCACUAUUACGUUGUCAUGUAAAAUUAUCAGUAACGUUGUUAGAAGCAAGUUUAUGAUG